rnacentral:rRNA from 1 species
UACGAAGGGGGCUAGCGUUGCUCGGAAUGACUGGGCGUAAAGGGCGCGUAGGCGGCUGUGACAGUCAGAUGUGAAAUUCCUGGGCUCAACCUGGGGGCUGCAUUUGAUACGUGCGGACUAGAGUGGGGAAGAGGGUCGUGGAAUUCCCAGUGUAGAGGUGAAAUUCGUAGAUAUUGGGAAGAACACCGGUGGCGAAGGCGGCGACCUGGUCCUUGACUGACGCUGAGGCGCGAAAGCGUGGGGAGCAAACAGG